rnacentral:rRNA from 1 species
GAUGAACGCUGGCGGCGUGCCUAAUACAUGCAAGUCGAGCGAACAGAUGAGAAGCUUGCUUCUCUGAUGUUAGCGGCGGACGGGUGAGUAACACGUGGGUAACCUACCUAUAAGACUGGGAUAACUCCGGGAAACCGGGGCUAAUACCGGAUAAUAUUUUGAACCGCAUGGUUCAAUAGUGAAGGACGGUUUCGGCUGUCACUUAUAGAUGGACCCGCGCCGUAUUAGCUAGUUGGUAAGGUAACGGCUUACCAAGGCGACGAUACGUAGCCGGCCUGGGAGGGUGAUCGGCCACACUGGAACUGAGACACGUUCCAGACUCCUACGGGAGGCAGCAGUAGGGAAUCUUCCGCAAUGGGCGAAAGCCUGACGGAGCAACGCCGCGUGAGUGAUGAAGGUCUUCGGAUCGUAAAACUCUGUUGUUAGAGAAGAACAAGGAUGAGAGUAACUGUUCAUCCCUUGACGGUAUCUAACCAGAAAGCCACGGCUAACUACGUGCCAGCCGCCGCAGUAA